rnacentral:rRNA from 1 species
UACGAAGGGGGCUAGCGUUGCUCGGAAUCACUGGGCGUAAAGCGCACGUAGGCGGCUUUUUAAGUCAGGGGUGAAUCCUGGAGCUCAACUCCAGAACUGCCUUUGAUACUGAAGAUCUUGAGUCCGGGAGAGGUGAGUGGAACUGCGAGUGUAGAGGUGAAAUUCGUAGAUAUUCGCAAGAACACCAGUGGCGAAGGCGGCUCACUGGCCCGGUACUGACGCUGAGGCACGAAAGCGUGGGGAGCA